AGGAUUUGUACAUAGAGCCAAAAUCCUUAAACUGGAUCCCGUGCUGAUUUAAUCCUAAUUCUUUAAUACAUACAAAUAUGAAGAUCAUAUUUCUGUUUGCUGUUUAUUUCAUACACUGUGUCACUUCUCAAAUUUCAUUGACAGAGUCUGGCCCAGGCACUGUGAAGCCAACAACUACCCUUCAACUGAUGUGUAAAGUAACAGGUGCCAGUCUCACUGACAGCACUAACAUGUAUGGAGUAAGCUGGGUCCGACAGCCUGCAGGGAAAGGGCUGGAGUGGCUGGGGGUACUAUGGUAUGAUGCUACCACAAAGUACGCCACCGCAGUGCAGGGACGUCUGACAUUAUCAAGAGACACAAAUAAAGGAGAAGUUUAUUUUAAACUCACUGAGGCAAAAACAGAAGAAUCUGCAACAUAUUAUUGUGCAAGACACACAGCUUGAUAAAGAGACUGAGAGCCUGGCCAAAAACAAUUAACCAAAUUAUCAUCUGACAAAUUUCAUUAAU